AGUGAACGCUGGCGGUAGGCCUAACACAUGCAAGUCGAACGGCAGCACAGUAAGAGCUUGCUCUUACGGGUGGCGCGUGGCGGACGGGUGAUGAAUACAUCGGAAUCUACUUUUUCGUGGGGGAUAACGUAGGGAAACUUACGCUAAUACCGCAUACGACCUACGGGUGAAAGCAGGGGAUCUUCGGACCUUGCGCGAUUGAAUGAGCCGAUGUCGGAUUAGCUAGUUGGGGGGGUAAAGGCCCACCAAGCCGACGAUCCGUAGCUGGUCUCAGAGGAUGAUCAGCCACACUGGAACUGAGACACGGUCCAGACUCCUACGGGAGGAAGCAGUGGGGAAUAUUAGACAAUGGGCGAAAGCCUGAUACAGCAAUACCGCGUCAGUGAAGAAGGACUUCUGGUUGUAAAGUCAUGUUGUUCGGAAAGAAGAGCAGCAGGUUAACACGCCGCGGUUCUGACGGUACCCAAAGAAUAAGCACCGGCUAACUUCGUG
rnacentral:rRNA from 1 species